UAUGUGAGUAUGGGGGCUGUAUUAUGCACACCAGCGCAUGACGUAAAACAUGACGUUUUCCACCCGCGCAAAGUUUAAUUCGGUAUUUUGCACAUUUAUUUUUUA